UGGAGACGCAGAAAUUAUCCAUGUUCUUUAUUUUUUUAUAUUAGGCGUCUGGGAUUUUGUAUUUCGCUUAUGGGGAAGAACAAGAUUAAUAUGAUGCAGUAAAGGUCUUGAGUGAAGGUUUAAACUUUUGAAUUCCUGGGUGAUAUAUUGUGUGAAUAUGCAGUUUGUCUCUAAUCUUUUAGGGUGCGUUUGGUUGCAACAAAUUUUCAUAAAAUAUCGUGAUAUUUCAUGACUAAUCUGUCUAAUUUAGUGCAAAAUUUCAUGAUAUUUGAUACAACCAAACACACCCUUAAAGAAAAGAAAGAAAAUCUUGAUCUUUAGGGGGAAAAAGAAGAAGAGGAAGAAGAAGAAAGAGAAUGGGAGAAAUGAUAUAAAAUUUCUAAAUCCUAGGGAAGAAGCGAAGCUCUUUUUUUUCUCUUUAAAUCUCUUUUGGAAAGGUGAAAAUUGGGUCUAGAGAAACAGUCAUAUGAAUAACACGUAUUGAGCUGAAUGCAGUAUUAGUACGAAAUAGAUGUAUAUACCGUCAUGUUUUCAGCAGAUAUCCCAUCAUGUUUUCAGCAGGUGCCAUUCUUUUCACAUGCUUGACAGUCAAAUGGUCUCUUCUUCUUUUUCCUUGGUGAGAAAUAACAAGCUUUAUUGGAAAGAAGAAAGAAAAUACAUCAAGAGACAGGGAAUGAGUUUCCAGCAGAAAGGUAGGAUACCAUUUUUGGCCCAAAACAUGUCCCUUCCAUGCAAAUGUUGAAAUGUAACAUUUACCUUAGACGCAGCAUUACCGAAUUCUAGAAAACAAAGAUACUCUUCUCACUGAUUAGAAAUCAAUUGCAUUUCUCAUAUAAGGAUUUCUAUAUUUUCUGUGGGAAUGCUAACCUAGAGUUGCAUGAUCCUACUGCUGCCCAACUAGAAUGCCCCUGAAAUUUCCAGAUUGGAAGAUUGUAGCCAUCCAAUUUUGGCCUAUUUUUGCCACAGAUAAUGUAAGAUUGCUGCUGUAUUUUCUUCCAACUGUCUAUUUGUAGUCCACCAAUUGAAACAUUCUGAUCGCCCAUUGGUGAAAUUUUUGGGGCAUCCUUGCACAGUGAGGCAAGCAGAUCGACAUCGAACCAUGGGCUGGGCACCACAUGUAUGGCUCUCAGUAGUGCCCAUGGGUGAUUGUCAUAUCCUAGAGCUGAGAUUUUAUUUAUUUAUUUUUGCCUUUGGUGUCUAUCUUUGAGGAUGUUAUCAAUACAUUUGAAUUUCAUGACUCAUGUGUGCGCUACAUGUUGGGGUGCAUGUGAGCUGGACUGUGAUCAUGAACCAUGUUGGAGGGUACUGGCUGCACAGAUCUCAGCUUGACCAGGGACCAAGGACUGGUUCUAGGGCUCAGGUUAGGCGGCCCAAUGCGGGGACGCAGGCGAGGACCUGAAACCCGACAAGCCAGCCUGAUCCAACUUGCUGCUCAGUAAAAUAUGCCAACACAGACAUGCCUGGAUCUAUCGUUAAAACCCAGGUGGCUGUAUGGAGCACCUGUUUUGUGUAGAAUGUUAUAACAGGGAAGUAAUUUUACUAUUUUGCUACUGCAGAUCAACGCAUCUAGGGCCUGUUUGGAUACCACCAGAUAAGUUACUUUAUCUACUUACAGCAGUAGAUAAGUAACUUAUUUCAGAUAAGUUUGGUUUAUGAUUAAUUAUAAGUAAUUUUCUUACUUAAAAAGUUACUAAAUCGUUUCAGCUAUUUUUUUUUUUUUAGUUUUUCUAGUUUUCAUAAAUUGUUCCCGAGAGAAUCAAUAGAGACUGAAGAGAGAAGAAACUGGUACGUAUAUUGUUUGCCAAACUUACUUAUCUGCUUAAUUAGUAGAAACCAAGAUAAGCUAUUUGGGGGCAUAAGUAGCUUAUCUUAAGUAACUUACUAUCUAAAUGGUUACUUUUUAACUUAA